AACCAAAAACCGGUGGUAGAACCUGCACAGGAUAAGAACGACCGAAGACCAAAAAUACCGGUGGUAGAACCUGCACAGGAUAAGAACAACCGAAAACCAAAAAUACCGGUGGUGGUGGAACCUGCAAAGGAUAAGAACGACCGAAAAUCACAAAAACCGGCGACAAAACCUAUACAUAAUAAGGACAACCGAAAACCACCCACCAAAGCGGAAGAAGCUGAAAACAAGGUUGUGGUGAGGAAACUCGAGAUCACGUUACCAACGAUUCCAAUUAUCUCCCCGGUCCCAGGACUUAGAUCGAACGUCGAUAAAGCUAAACAGUUGGCUGCACGCCGUUUGAACAACGAAGAGAAUUUUGUCAACGCCGUUGCGAACGGUGUAAGGCUUGCGGUCCAUGCUGCUAAGCCUAUCCUAGCCGUAGCCAAAUUGAUCGUUACCAUUGUUGAAUCAUUCGCUGAGAUAGCAGCAUUAAACCCAGCCCGACUCGGACUUUUUAUUCUUCAGGAAGGUGUGAAAAUUGGCUUGAGUAUUUUGACCGUGUCCCUUCCUCUUCUGAUAAAUGGAAUUGUAACGGCUGUGUAUUAAAUAAUCAAUUAUAAUGUAUUAUAGUAGAACAUUUACUUUAUAUGCAACUAUGUAUUAGUUUUUGUUGCAAAUAUAUUUACGCAUAAUAAAAAU
rnacentral:lncRNA from 1 species